rnacentral:misc_RNA from 1 species
AAACUACGUUAAACGGUGUGAAUUGCAGAACACGCAGAACACUGGAACUUUGAACGCACAUGGCAGGUUAGUGUUAUAACUAACCUUUGUCUGUGUGAGGGUUGUAAUCAGAGAAUCAAGGCUAGUUUUUGAAAAGCGGGGAGGUUGCCUAUUAAAUGUGUGACAUGCCCGCUGUUCGCUAUAAAACACACUUGUGUUGCGCCUCUGGCCAGCGUCGGAGGAUAACGGCAACUGAACGGGUGUUAGGGAGAAAGGAGUUUGCUGAAGUUGAUGCGCUGUUAAUGGCGUCUUCAGAAGCAGUAGCUCCCUAUCCUGUCUUUCUUUCUCACAACCUCACAUCAGGCAAGAUUACCCGCUUAAUUUAA